GUGUUGUAUGAAAGGAGAGACGGUUAGCACUCCCCUUGACAAGGAUGGAAUACACAUAUGGCUGAGGCACUCAGCUUUCUAAGCUACUCAACCACAUUUUUUU